CAAAUCUUUUGCGAGUCUGCGUGCUUUACCGCCGUAGCACUCACAACAUUAGCACAAGGUCGCAAGGCCUUGAUGUUUACGCUUGUUUGUUUGACAGAUUUAGUUGAGAAAUAAAAAAGACAACUUUUAACAAUGGAUCUCUUGGCUCUUGCAACGAUGAAGAACGCAGUAAAGUGCGAUAUGUAGUGCGAUUUGCAUGAAUCUGUGAGUCAUCUAAUCUUUGAACGCAACUUGCGCCUUUUACGAGGCAUGUUUGUUUGAGUGCCGCAAUCCUCUGCAGCAAUGCGAUUUGACUCGUGUCUUUGUUGACCGAGUUUAAACAGAGCUAGAGGAUGGUCAGUUUGGACUAGUCCGAGUGCUAAGCAUUCUUGGGCCUAGGCUGGAUUGCCCAUUAAUCUAUCUUUAUA
rnacentral:misc_RNA from 1 species